ACGAAGGGGGCUAGCGUUGUUCGGAAUUACUGGGCGUAAAGCGCGCGCAGGCGGUUCGUCAAGUUGGGGGUGAAAUCCCUGGGCUCAACCCAGGAAUGGCCUUCAAAACUGUCGAGCUAGAGGACGAGAGAGGUGAGUGGAAUUCCCAGUGUAGAGGUGAAAUUCGUAGAUAUUGGGAAGAACACCGGUGGCGAAGGCGGCUCACUGGCUCGUUUCUGACGCUGAGGCGCGAAAGCGUGGGGAGCAAACAGGAUUAGAUACCCUGGUAGUCCACGCCGUAAACGAUGAGUGCCAGGUGUCGGGGGACUUAGUCCUUCGGCGCCGCAGCUAACGCCUUAAGCACUCCGCCUGGGGAGUACGGCCGCAAGGUUA
rnacentral:rRNA from 1 species